CGUCUAUAUACGUAUAGCAUAUCAAUAAGCGGAGGAAAAGGAAACUAACUAGGAUUCCCUCAGUAACGGCGAGUGAAGCGGGAAGAGCUCAAAUUUGAAAUCUUAAAGGUUUCCCUUGACGAAUUGUAGUUUAAAGAAGUGUUUUCUGUUGGAGCUUUGGCUAAAAGUUCUUUGGAAUAGGACAUCAUAGAGGGUGAGAAUCCCGUAUUUGACCAUUUACUUUCCAGCUGUGUGAUACACUUUCAAAGAGUCGGAUUGUUUGGGAAUGCAGUCCAAGAUGGGUGGUAAAUUUCAUCUAAAGCUAAAUAUUGGCGAGAGACCGAUAGCGAACAAGUACCGUGAGGGAAAGAUGAAAAGAACUUUGAAAAGAGAGUUAAACAGUACGUGAAAUUGUCAAAAGGGAAGCGUUUGACACCAGUGUUGUUUUUCCGAAAAUCAAUUACGAAUGUUUUAUUUUUGAGAAGUUAUGACUUCAUCGGCUUGCUUCUCUCUUUAUGAAACUUUCUUAAUGCACUUUUCGGUUAACAAGUCAACAGUCAAUUUCUUUUGUUGUAAAAGGGUAUGAGGAAGGUGGCUUUCUUUUCGGAGAAAGUGUUUAUAGCCUUUGUACUUCUGCAAUCGGAGAGAUUGAGGUCUGCAGCGUAGAUCCUUCGGGGUUAGAUACAUUUGUGCUAAGUUAUAGCCUUUCAUAGACAACUUGUUGACUAUGAUCAGUCAUGUAGCUUACUCGCUUAUGUCUAUUUUACCUACGCUUAGGAUGUUGACACACGCGCGUGCUCG
rnacentral:rRNA from 1 species